UCUUAUGGAUGAGAAAAGAAAGUGGUUUCUUAAGAUGGAUUUUACUUCUGGUGAAAAUGCUGUGAA
rnacentral:pre_miRNA from 3 species